AUGAACGCUAGCUACAGGCUUAACACAUGCAAGUCGAGGGGAAACGAUAUUGGAAGCUUGCUUCCGAUAGGCGUCGACCGGCGCACGGGUGAGUAACGCGUAUCCAACCUGCCCACCACUUGGGGAUAACCUUGCGAAAGUAAGACUAAUACCCAAUGAUAUCUCUAGAAGACAUCUGAAAGAGAUUAAAGAUUUAUCGGUGAUGGAUGGGGAUGCGUCUGAUUAGCUUGUUGGCGGGGUAACGGCCCACCAAGGCAACGAUCAGUAGGGGUUCUGAGAGGAAGGUCCCCCACAUUGGAACUGAGACACGGUCCAAACUCCUACGGGAGGCAGCAGUGAGGAAUAUUGGUCAAUGGACGAGAGUCUGAACCAGCCAAGUAGCGUGCAGGAAGACGGCCCUAUGGGUUGUAAACUGCUUUUAUAAGGGAAUAAAGUGAGAGUCGUGACUCUUUUUGCAUGUACCUUAUGAAUAAGGACCGGCUAAUUCCGUGCCAGCAGCCGCGGUAAUACGGAAGGUCCGGGCGUUAUCCGGAUUUAUUGGGUUUAAAGGGAGCGUAGGCCGGAGAUUAAGCGUGUUGUGAAAUGUAGACGCUCAACGUCUGCACUGCAGCGCGAACUGGUUUCCUUGAGUACGCACAAAGUGGGCGGAAUUCGUGGUGUAGCGGUGAAAUGCUUAGAUAUCACGAAGAACUCCGAUUGCGAAGGCAGCUCACUGGAGCGCAACUGACGCUGAAGCUCGAAAGUGCGGGUAUCGAACAGGAUUAGAUACCCUGGUAGUCCGCACGGUAAACGAUGGAUGCCCGCUGUUGGUCUGAAUAGGUCAGCGGCCAAGCGAAAGCAUUAAGCAUCCCACCUGGGGAGUACGCCGGCAACGGUGAAACUCAAAGGAAUUGACGGGGGCCCGCACAAGCAGUGGAGUAUGUGGUUUAAUUCGAAGCAACGCGAAGAACCUUACCAGGUCUUGACAUCCGAUGCAUAGCACAGAGAUGUGUGAAAUCCUUCGGGACAUCGAGACAGGUGGUGCAUGGUUGUCGUCAGCUCGUGUCGUGAGAUGUUGGGUUAAGUCCCGCAACGAGCGCAACCCCUGUUUCUAGUUGCCAGCACGUAAAGGUGGGAACUCUAGAGAGACUGCCGGUGAUAAAUCGGAGGAAGGUGGGGACGACGUCAAAUCAUCAUGCCCUUUAUGUCCUGGGCUACACACGUACUACAAUGGUGGUAAACAGAGGGAGGCAAGACCGCGAGGUGGAGCAAAUCCCUAAAAGCCAUCCCAGUUCGGAUUGCAGGCUGAAACCCGCCUGUAUGAAGUUGGAAUCGCUAGUAAUCGCGGAUCAGCAUGCCGCGGUGAAUACGUUCCCGGGCCUUGUACACACCGCCCGUCACACCAUGGGAGUUGGGAGUGCCCAAAGCCGGUGAGGCAACCGCAAGGAGCCAGCCGUCUAAGGCAAGACCAAUGACUGGGGUG
rnacentral:rRNA from 1 species